rnacentral:rRNA from 1 species
GACGAGCGCUGGCGGCGUGCUUAACACAUGCAAGUCGAACGAUGAAGCCGGAGCUUGCUCUGGUGAAUUAGUGGCGAACGGGUGAGUAACACGUGAGUAACCUGCCCUUGACUCUGGGAUAACUGCGGGAAACUGUAGCUAAUACCGGAUACGACCCUCGGAGGCAUCUCCUGGGGGUGGAAAGAAUUUCGGUCAAGGAUGGACUCGCGGCCUAUCAGCUAGUUGGUGAGGUAAAGGCUCACCAAGGCGACGACGGGUAGCCGGCCUGAGAGGGUGACCGGCCACACUGGGACUGAGACACGGCCCAGACUCCUACGGGAGGCAGCAGUGGGGAAUAUUGCACAAUGGGCGCAAGCCUGAUGCAGCAACGCCGCGUGAGGGAUGACGGCCUUCGGGUUGUAAACCUCCUUUAGCAGGGAAGAAGCGAAAGUGACGGUACCUGCAGAAAAAGCACCGGCUAACUACGUGCCAGCAGCCGCGGUAA